AUGGAUCUCUCUGGGGCUGUGGCAAGAUGCUUUUGCGGUAUCCUGUCUCUCUAUUGCCUGGACCUCUGGAAGACAGAAGAGCGAGAAUCAGCAGUGAUCGUUUUCCUGCAAACGCAAUUUGAGGAACUACUUUGACAACCGAUAGAAAAACAACUACCUUGCAGCAUGACCACAGCAAGUGCAUGUUCUUUCUGACAAUGUAUAAUUGCACUGUGUCCCUGGUGAGGAAUGAUGCCAGAAUGGCCAUCUGAUUAUCUGUAUUCAUUUCUCAUACUGUAACCAAGUUGUUUAUUUUCCACAAAUGUUCAUGCAAAAAUGCAGAGAUUCUCCAUGUAGAAUAAAGUAGGCCUACAAAGUAAGGAAGGACUGGUA
rnacentral:lncRNA from 1 species